rnacentral:rRNA from 1 species
AUUGAACGCUGGCGGCAUGCCUUACACAUGCAAGUCGAACGGUAACAGGUCUUCGGAUGCUGACGAGUGGCGAACGGGUGAGUAAUACAUCGGAACGUGCCUAGUAGUGGGGGAUAACUACUCGAAAGAGUGGCUAAUACCGCAUGAGAUCUACGGAUGAAAGCAGGGGAUCGCAAGACCUUGUGCUACUAGAGCGGCCGAUGGCAGAUUAGGUAGUUGGUGGGAUAAAAGCUUACCAAGCCGACGAUCUGUAGCUGGUCUGAGAGGACGAUCAGCCACACUGGGACUGAGACACGGACCAGACUCCUACGGGAGGCAGCAGUGGGGAAUUUUGGACAAUGGGCGCAAGCCUUAUCCAGCAAUGCCGCGUGCAGGAUGAAGGCCUUCGGGUUGUAAACUGCUUUUGUACGGAACGAAAAGCCCUGGGUUAAUACCCUGGGGUCAUGACGGUACCGUAAGAAUAAGCACCGGCUAACUACGUGCCAGCCGCCGCCGUAA